CGGCCAGACUCCUACGGGAGGCAGCAGUGGGGAAUAUUGCACAAUGGGGGAAACCCUGAUGCAGCAACGCCGCGUGAGUGAAGAAGUAUUUCGGUAUGUAAAGCUCUAUCAGCAGGGAAGAAGAAAGACGGUACCUGACUAAGAAGCCCCGGCUAACUACGUGCCAGCAGCCGCGGUAAUACGUAGGGGGCAAGCGUUAUCCGGAUUUACUGGGCGUAAAGGGAGCGUAGACGGCAUAGCAAGUCUGAAGUGAAAGCCCGUGGCUCAACCGCGGAACUGCUUUGGAAACUGUUAGGCUGGAGUACUGGAGAGGCAAGCGGAAUUCCUAGUGUAGCGGUGAAAUGCGUAGAUAUUAGGAGGAACACCGGUGGCGAAGGCGGCCUGCUGGACUGUGACUGACGUUGAGGCUCGAAAGCGUGGGGAGCAAACAGGAUUAGAUACCCCGGUA
rnacentral:rRNA from 1 species